GAGGGUAUAGCUCAAGUGGUACAGUACAUGUCUAGCAUGCACAAGGCCCUGGGUUCAAUCCCCAGUACCUCCA
rnacentral:tRNA from 1 species